GGCCUGGUGUAGGGGUAACACAUCUAUUCUGUAUUCAAGGGAUGUUUGAUAUCUGAGCAGGAGCCCCUUGUUCGAUUCAAGGCAAGGCCA